AUUGGACGCUGGCGGCAUGCCUUACACAUGCAAGUCGAACGGCAGCAUGAUCUAGCUUGCUAGAUUGAUGGCGAGUGGCGAACGGGUGAGUAAUACAUCGGAACGUGCCCUGUAGUGGGGGAUAACUAGUCGAAAGAUUAGCUAAUACCGCAUACGACCUGAGGGUGAAAGUGGGGGACCGCAAGGCCUCAUGCUAUAGGAGCGGCCGAUGUCUGAUUAGCUAGUUGGUGAGGUAAAGGCUCACCAAGGCGACGAUCAGUAGCUGGUCUGAGAGGACGAUCAGCCACACUGGGACUGAGACACGGCCCAGACUCCUACGGGAGGCAGCAGUGGGGAAUUUUGGACAAUGGGGGCAACCCUGAUCCAGCAAUGCCGCGUGUGUGGAGAAGGCCUUCGGGUUGUAGAGCACUUUUGUCCGGAAAGAAAUCGCACUUACUAAUAUUAGGUGUGGAUGACGGUACCGGAAGAAUAAGGACCGGCUAACUACGUGCCAGCCGCCGCGGUAAGAC
rnacentral:rRNA from 1 species